AUUGAACGCUGGCGGCAGGCCUAACACAUGCAAGUCGAGUGGAUGAAGGGAGCUUGCUCCUGGAUUCAGCGGCGGACGGGUGAGUAAUGCCUAGGAAUCUGCCUGGUAGUGGGGGAUAACGUCCGGAAACGGGCGCUAAUACCGCAUACGUCCUGAGGGAGAAAGUGGGGGAUCUUCGGACCUCACGCUAUCAGAUGAGCCUAGGUCGGAUUAGCUAGUUGGUGGGGUAAAGGCCUACCAAGGCGACGAUCCGUAACUGGUCUGAGAGGAUGAUCAGUCACACUGGAACUGAGACACGGUCCAGACUCCUACGGGAGGCAGCAGUGGGGAAUAUUGGACAAUGGGCGAAAGCCUGAUCCAGCCAUGCCGCGUGGGUGAAGAAGGUCUUCGGAUUGUAAAGCACUUUAAGUUGGGAGGAAGGGCAGUAAGUUAAUACCUUGCUGUUUUGACGUUACCAACAGAAUAAGCACCGGCUAACUUCGU
rnacentral:rRNA from 1 species